UCUACCACUGAGCCAAACCGGCUUUGGCUAAAUUGGAAUUCUUGAUAUAGGAAUCCAUAGCUCGCUCUUCAUAAUAUCAGCAUUGCUGAUUAACCCAGUUCUCAUUAUGUGCAUUAUCUCUAUCAUUUUCUCAGCCCUGAGUUGAUAAUGUGUUUUUAGAAUACAGAUUCUGAAUACAUUGAAAGGAGAUGCAAAACUAAAAGAAACAUUAGGGAUUAGUGUAGUAGGGUUAAUUAAGAAUAGCUAAGAGUGAACCUCAUUCAUUUAUCUAGGGGAGGGGUCAUUUAAACAGUCCCUUAGGUUAUCUUACUGACACAGAAGUACAGUAUUGCAAUAAGGAGCCUCUUGAAUAACAGGCUUCCAGCAAUUUGAUAUUUGGGGUUUUUAAUUGCCUGAAAAAUUUUUAUAGCACUAGAAGUAGUAAUCCAAGUUGAUAGAUACUGUGAUUGCGCCAAAGAAUAAAAAUGCCUAUCAUUUGUGAAGGGGAGAGGGAGUAGAGGUGUAGAAUAUGAAGCACUGUAGAAUUGUUUGUUUGAUGAUGUCAGAGAUACGCUUAGAUUAUUAGUAAGGCUUUCUUACUGGGUGGUAUAUUAAGUUUUUAUUAUCUUUGUAUAAAAGAUUAGAGAUUCCCCCCCAUUCCCUCUAGGAUAGGAAUGUUGGAGACAGGCACAUUUUAAGACCAAGCUCUCAAAUAAUGGAGGAUGAAUGAUUUCAUUUUUAUUUGUUUCAUUGAUUUUAAU